rnacentral:lncRNA from 7 species
UCUCAGGAAAGCAACGCCUUGUGGAGUAUGGACCGGGAGCUUUGAGGGAGUGACGCCGUUCGUGGCUCAGAUUACUCAGCGAGGGCCUACAGGCACUGUUGUUAAUCAGGACAUGGACAUGCCCUCAUUUUGGAGUUGGUAGCCUUGGUGAUCUUACACGUGUACAAGCUAAGGAUAGUCUUGCUAAUGCUUGUAAACAAAUUGUGGUGUGAGAACUUUUUGGAGAAAAAGGUGAAAAAAGCUAGCCUUUUGUUUUCUGUUUUUGGUUGUUGUGUAUAUAUUCAAUCAUAUCUGCUACUAUUGUAUUUGGAACUCUAUCAAUUAAUAAUUAGCGGA